rnacentral:rRNA from 1 species
GAUGAACGCUAGCGAUAGGCUUAACACAUGCAAGUCGAGGGGCAGCACAAGGUAGCUUGCUAUCUGGGUGGCGACCGGCGCACGGGUGCGUAACGCGUAUGCAACUUGCCCUAUACAGGAGGAUAACCCGUCGAAAGACGGACUAAUACUGCGUAUGCUCACAACUUGGCAUCAAGUGGUGAGGAAAGAAAUUCGGUAUAGGAUAGGCAUGCGUCCCAUUAGCUUGUUGGUGAGGUAACGGCUCACCAAGGCAACGAUUGGUAGGGGAACUGAGAGGUUUAUCCCCCACACUGGUACUGAGACACGGACCAGACUCCUACGGGAGGCAGCAGUGAGGAAUAUUGGUCAAUGGGCGCGAGCCUGAACCAGCCAAGUCGCGUGAAGGAUGACUGUCUUAUGGAUUGUAAACUUCUUUUAUACGGGAAUAACAAGAGUCACGUGUGGCUCCCUGCAUGUACCGUAUGAAUAAGCAUCGGCUAACUCCGUG